AGGUUGCCUCAUAGUGAGCUUGCA
rnacentral:miRNA from 1 species